AGGUGUGCUUGCUUCGGCAGCACAUAUACUAAAAUUGGUACGAUACAGAGAAGAUUAGCAUGGACCCUGUGCAAGGAUGACACACAAAUUCGUGAACCAUUCCACAUUUUU
ensembl:snRNA U6 spliceosomal RNA